UACGGGGGGGGGCAAGCGUUGUUCGGAAUUACUGGGCGUAAAGGGCUCGUAGGCGGCCAACUAAGUCGGACGUGAAAUCCCCAGGCUUAACCUGGGAACUGCGUCUGAUACUGGAUGGCUUGAAUUCGGGAGAGGGGGGUGGAAUUCCCAGUGUAGCGGUGAAAUGCGUAGAUAUUGGGAGGAACACCGGUGGCGAAGGCGGCCCCCUGGACCGGUACUGACGCUGAGGCGCGAAAGCGUGGGGAGCAAACAGG
rnacentral:rRNA from 1 species